rnacentral:rRNA from 1 species
UACGUAGGGGGCAAGCGUUGUCCGGAAUUAUUGGGCGUAAAGCGCGUGUAGGCGGUCAGAUAAGUCCGCUGUGAAAUCUCGAGGCUCAACUUCGAGCUGUCGGUGGAAACUGUCUGGCUAGAGUCCGGAAGAGGAGAAUGGAAUUCCUGGUGUAGCGGUGAAAUGCGCAGAUAUCAGGAAGAACACCCGUGGCGAAGGCGGUUCUCUGGGACGGUACUGACGCUGAGACGCGAAAGCGUGGGGAGCGAACAGG